ensembl:lincRNA
GCAAGAUGGCUCACAAGGACUGGAGUCGCAGCAGGCAGACUGGCAGCUAUUGGCCACAGAGCAGACAGAUGGACAGCAUCUGACACCGGAGGACACUGGCUGAUAGCAACUGGGCUCACAGAUCACUGGCUGGCAGUAGCUGGGUUUGCAGAGGAUGGGCUGGCAGGAAGAGGGUACGCAGAAGACUCGUUGGCCAGGAGGGACCUCACAGCUCACAGGCUGGGCACAGCUGCUCACAGGACAGGCAGGCUCACAGAUGGUGGCCUUGUAGCUCACAGGCUGGGCACAGCUGCUCACAGGACAGGCAGACUCACAGAUGGUGGCCUUGUAGCUCACAGGCUGGGCAUAGCUGCUCACAGAGCAAGAGGGUUCACAGAUGGUGGCCUCACAGCACACAGGCUGGGCACAGCUGCUUAUGGGACAGGCAGGCUCACAGAUGGUGGCCUUGUAGCACACAGGCUGGGCACAGCUGCUCACGGGACAGGCAGGCUCAUAGAUGGUGGCCUCACAGUACACAGGCUGGGCACAGCUGCUCACGGGACAGGCAGGCUCACAGAUGGUGGCCUUGUAGCACACAGGCUGGGCACAGUUGCUCACGGGACAGGCAGGCUCACAGAUGGUAGCCUCACAGCUCACAGGCUGGGCACGGCUGCUUACGGGACAGGCAGGCUCACAGAUGGUGGUCUCACAGCACACAGGCUGGACACAGCUGCUCGCAGAACAGGAGGGCUCACAGCAUUGUGGGUCACAGCUGGAUGAUCCGCAGCUAUCUUGACAAGUCACCAGUUGCCAUGUCUGGCUCCGGCAGGAACUGGGCAAGCAAACAGGCCCUCUGCAGCUCACCUCAGUGGAGCAAAGGGAGAUGGCUGGCACCGAGGGGCAUUUCCUAGAACAGCAGUUUCCAGACAUGGUGAAGGUGCCUCUGCUCCCUUGCCAGUGCUGAGAGGUUGCUGCCUGACUGGGGCAGCUCCCCAGAGCCCUCACUUUUAUAUCCCCAACCCUGGCACGUGCUGUUUUGAGCCCCCGCAUCUUUUCCUCAUUGCUGUUUGGGCCAGUUUUCAGAGAAACAUCUUAUUAUGCCACAGUUUGUUGACCUGGAAGCUGUUUACCUACCCAUAAAGAAGCUGUUUGUUUAUUGACUUGCUAACUUUGGAAUCCUUGGAGCUACAGGUCAUCUUGGAAUAAGCAUCAUCGCCUCCAAGCUGAAUGAUCUGCAUUUCUGAGCAUCAUGAACAAAGGAAGAAGAAAGGAACUUAUAAUUUAACCAUCUUCUAGUCCUUUGCACAGGCCCUGGGCAGAACACAGAGGGUGUCCACAUGAAUAAGACCUCCUCUCCCACUCUCAUGGAUCUCACUGUGUGAUGGGCAAGCAUCCAAGUAAACUCUACAAUGCAACAAUAAACUCAACAAUAGACAUAAAGGGAUUAGCAGAGAGGAGGAGUGGUGAGCUCUGUGGGAGAGGGAAUAUCUGAGCUGCAUUUUAAAUGCUGCACUUCACGGUGAAAAUCUCACUUAAAACCAUCAGAAAUCCCAUGAGGCAAGGAUUCAUCUCCAUCCCCAUCCCCCUGAUUAUAGGUGAAGGAAAAGAAAGGGAGUUAGAAUCAGAAGGUUUGUCACUUGCUAAAGGUCACACACAGCUUGCCCACUAAUCUAAGGCUCCUCUUCUUCCUCUUCACCAUCCUGUCUGGACAGACCUUUCUCAGGAGCCUCAGCCCACAACGCUGUCCUCCAUCCUGUUUUGUGAGCAGCUCUCUCCUAGAACACUGGCUCUCCCUACCCCUGGAAAGCACUUGACCUAGCCUCUCGGCUUCUCCUCCCUCCUUCCUUCCACCCGCCCCUACCUCAAGCAUUCAGUAGACCACCAGGAUCCUUGCCUUUGGUGAUUUUAGCAGCUACUAAAACAACCCCUCUGAGAUAUAAAGAGGAAAGACAAGAGCUCUUUUGAGAAGACAUUGUGAACAAAAACAAAGAACACAAAUGCUUUCUCAAAGCAUUUUGUCAGUGCUACCACUUGAGACAGACACAAGGUAAAAAAUGAAGCCUAGGCUUCUAAACACCAAGGCCUGACACCCUUGCUGAAUGAAGGACCUGCAUUGUUUCCACCACAUGCUUUCAAUAUCUGUGCAUAAGGCAGGCUCUCCUUUGGAAAAGUUGGACUGUUAUGGCAACUAUUCAUCAUCCCUUCCUUCACUGGUUAAUUAAUGUAGCCAUUCAGACUACAACCUUCUCUUUUAUUCAUCCAUUCAACUCAGUCAUCAUUGGGUUCUGUAUGAGGGAUACAAAAGAAAAGAAUGACUUUCAAUUCCUCCACAAGGAGUCCAAGUUUAGAAGAAAGACAGAUAUACACAUAAGUAAUUAUGGGACAAUAUACGUAUAAGUGCAACAGCACACGGAUGCACUAAGACUUACAGGGGGCACCCAGGAGAAAUACAAAC